AGAUUGAAUUUAGAGACACUCAAUUUUGGGUAUGAAGAUGUUACAUCAACACCAAUGACAGCUAAGCGAAUGAGAAAAUGGUCCAGUUCGAGUGCUGGAAGUGAAUCACCUAGUCCAGCUCAAAGUGGUAAGAAAGGGAAAAUACCAAUUUGAACUCUAAUAAUAAUUUUAAAUAUGUUAUUUUUAGUUGCUGGAAAAAAGUGUUCUGAACGUCCAACACGUUAUGACACAUCUUUAGGUUUAUUGACUAAAAAAUUUAUUGGUCUUCUUGAAGAUUCUACUGAUGGUGUUGUUGAUUUAAAUAUAGCAUCAGAAAAAUUGGAUGUACAAAAACGAAGAAUAUAUGAUAUUACCAAUGUUUUAGAAGGUAUAGGAAUUUUAGAAAAGAAAUCAAAAAAUAAUAUUCAAUGGAAGUAAGUUAUUAGAAUUUUAACCGUUUAUAAAUAAUUUAUUAUCAUAUUAUGGUAUUAUUAUGGUUUAGAGGUGGAAAUGUAUAUGGAUCAGACAAAAAUAAUGUUCAACAGGAUAUAGACAAAAUGAAAGCCAAAGAAGAAGAAUUAGAUAAUUUAAUUUCAAAUACUGGUAUGAUUUUAUAAUUUAAUAUAUUUUUUUUUCUCAGUGUAUUGGUCUCUGUAUGACCUGUGCUGCCAUAAGUAAUCUUCUAACUUUCCCUGUUGACACAUAUCCACCAUCCAGGUGCCCUUCUGUGUAGAGAAAAUACUGUAAUAUCUUUCCAUCUCUUACACAAUCUAUGUUUUUUGGUAUAUAUAUUUUUUUUAUCUUUGCAACUUUUCUGCCAACCAUUUUGCUCCAACUUUUAAUAAUAGCAAUGUUUCUUCUAAAAAAUAAUUUCACUAGUAAGGUACUUUAUUAGAGAGGUAAUUUUUCGAUUUCCUCAAGUUUUUCUAGCAAAUGUGAAAACAGAAAACUGGGAAAAUUGUACAUAUUAUUAAAGAAAAUAUAUAAAGUCUAUUUAAUUACUUUACUAUUAAAUGACAUAUAUACUAUAUUGAUGACAAAGCAUCACUAUCAACUGAACUCAUAAUAGUUUUUUUUGUAAGUAAUGGUUUUUCGUUGCUUACUGGUACACAUUAAAUUACCUAUAACAGUGGCUGCACCAAUCUCCAUUAUCCUAUGACGUCUUUUAUUAUUUAUGUUCACUCUCAAAUACUUAAACUGUUCCAUUUUUUCAUAUGUGAAAUGUCUAUUUGUAAAUUAAAUUGAUUUCCACUUCUGGUGAGAACCAUAGAUAUAAUUUAUUCUUCGUUAAUAUGUUGCUCCAUCUUUUCACUGAUUGUCAAGAGUUUAAAAAACAUUGUCCAAAUAAAAUUUUGUCUGAUAUUGCUUAAAAUUUUAAUAUCCUUUAUGUAUGUAUGUGCUAAUAUGUUUCUUUUGCAGCCACAUACAUUUGUUAUGUAUGCUUUAGUUAUUUUAAAAUCUUUUCAAGGCUUAGGUUUAAAGGAGUUAGGGAAACAAGGCAUUUUUUUGUUGUAAAAAUCUGUUUUAUUAUAUUCUGCUUUAGUUUUUAUAGUGCGUUGUUCAUGUGUUUCUUACAAAUGGUAAUGUGUUGUUGUUUAUUAUGAAUCCUAUUCCAUAUUCUUUAGUUCUACGACAACUAGAAUAUAUUCACAUCAAAAAGUUUGAUUUCCUCCUACAUUUGUUCAUCUAAUCUCUUGUAUAGCUACUAUUUCACACAGAUAUCUCUAAAGUGCAUAUAUUAUUGUCGGCAUUACAUUUACUAUGUACAUUAGACGUACAUUUUAUGUUCCUAAAUUAAACUUUGGCUAUUUAUUUUUCAUUUGAGGUUUUGUAAUGUUUUGUUUUGGAACCUAAUUGUUUUUAUAAGUUAGGUAGUUAGUCCUACAUCUAUCCUCAUUAAUGAAGUCUUCACUUCUUUACUGGAAUAGUAGAGGGCUAUUGCAAUGUUGUUUCCAACACUGAGGGAUUAUAGCGUCACUUCCCUACGCCCAUUCCUACUAAAGUUGUCUGCCUAGGAUUUUUUGCCAGUAACUAUCCUCCAAUAGGAGCUCCAUGCUCUGGAUUCACACCCAUAAUAUAAAAAACUUCUCUUAAGGAGUUUUAUCAUAUUUAUGUAUUUAUUCAUUAUCCUAAAAAAAAGAAUUGAUUCUUUUCAUAACUCUUUCCUAUUUAUACUAUGUAAGCUUAUUUAUAAUCAAAGAAUAACAUAUAUUAUUUAGUAUGAAAAUGUUCUCUGUAGUUGACCUCCCUUUUCUGAAACCUUAUUAUUUGAUACUGCCAUAAAAAAAUGUCGACAUGUGGAGUUUAAAGGAUUGUUCAUAACACGUGUUUAUUAAUAAUUACCAAAAGAAUUUAUUAUGUUUGAUCAUUUUCCAUGUUUUAUUCUUCUUUACGGCUUCUUCCCUGUUCAUUAAUAAUUCUACUAUUGCUUUUGCCUGGGGUCUUAUUAUUCUUUAAUUUAUUUAUGAUAUUGUAGACUCUAGAUUUUAAGGAACUAUUAAUAUAAUAUGUUUCUAUCAUAUAUUAAGAAUAUGAAUAAAUAGUUCUAUUUAUAUAUAUUUUAAUAAAACAAUCAAUUAGAUUAGUUUAUUUCCAAUGUAAAAAGAAGAUAAUAACAUUAUUACAAAGAAAAAGUUUUCAUUAAUAUCUACUGAUAAUGAUUUUUUUUUUAUCAAUAAUUUUACUUACAGAACGAGAUCUUAAGCAAUUAACAGAAGAUAAAAGAUAUGGAUAUGUAACUUAUCAAGACAUUAGGUCUAUUGACUCGUUUAGAGAAAAGACUGUUUUGGUUGUCAAAGCACCUCCUGAAACUGAAUUACAAGUACCUCAAGAUCACAUUGACGGAGAAGUAAAUAUACCUAAAUGAUAUUCAGUAUUUAUGAGUAAUGAGCGUGAAGUCAAAAUGAGAAAAAUUACCCCUAAAUUCAAGAUUCUGGAUAAAUUUGUGUUUUUUUUUUUUUUUUUAAUUGAAAUAUUCAAUUUAGUAGUAGUUAUGGCUAUUUUAUGUUUAUACAUUAUAUAUAUUUGGUUUUAUAUCAUUUGGUAUAAUUCUGGUGUAAAAAAAAAAAAAAAAAAAAAAAAAAAAAAAAAAAAACUAGAUCUUCAGUAUGAUUUUUUGAGGGGUAUACAAUUUAGAAUAGUGACUAUGAUUUAGUUUGAAGUCUGAAUGAAAAAACUCUUUUUACUGGCAGUUUCAAUUAUCUGUACAUAUAGUUUGAUUCCCAUUUUCUCACUGACCUUGAUUUGAUUAACAUUCCAUUGUAUGAAUAAGUCUUCUAUUCUGCUUAGUAGGUUUUUAUUCAGUUUUGUAUCUGCAUUAUGUUCAGUAAUAAAGUAUUAUGAAUAUUAUUAAAUUUAUGUAAUGAACUUAAGAAGACAUUAUACCCCUAUCUACUGUCUCAGUCACAAUAUUAGUCUCCGUACUAUAUUUUAGAGAGAAUGUCUAGUGUUUUUUGAAUUAUGAACUAUUUUAAAGAGUAAAAAAAUUAAGGUUUUUUUUUGUCUUUUAUAUCAAGCUGUAUAUUUUGAAUAAUUCAAAAACCAUAUGACAUUCCCUGCAAAAUAUUGUUCUUUGUAAAUUUCAUAAUAGGUACUUUACUCAAAAAUCAAAAUUAAGAUAGUUUUAUUUAUUCUGUGUAAGCAUUUUUUUUGUAUAUUACCCGGUAAUUGGACUGAGACAGUAGAAACAAAAAAAUUUGUCUGAAAGUUAUUUGUUAUAGAAUGUGCAAUCUAUAUAUAUAUAUAUACAGGGCGUAAUCCCACAAGGAUUCAACAAAUGCAAUAACUUUUGCUCUAUUCAAUAUUUUUGAUGUAUAUUUUUUUAAAUAAUUAGUAUACCUCAGUUCUAUAGUUUAUAUAUAUAUGAACCUUUUUUUUAAAAAAAAGAAGGGGGGGACUUAAAAUAAAAAAACUCAAAAUAGCCAUUUUGUAAAAUAGAUUUUUAGAAAAAUUUUGGUAGUUGAAACUUUUGUUAAAUUAUGGUCUUUUAUUUUCUACAAUUUUUUGAAGUUUUGUUAAUGUGAAUAUUACAAUAUUUUAUCAGUUAUUGGUCAGGGCACAUGACAAGGAUUUUCUUUUCCAUGAGUUUUUAUCAUGCAAUAAUAUUAUCAUAUAGGUAAUAAGUGGUAUAAAUCAAUUAAUAAUAGUAAUUUUAUGGUAUUUAUUAAUUAAUUAAUUUAAUAGUUGUUAAAAAAGAAAUUUUCAACAAAUCUUAGAAAAUUAAAGACCAUACUUCAACAAAUGUUUCAACUACCAAACAUUUUCUUUAAAUCUAUUUUACAAAAUUAUUAUUUUGAAUUUUGUAAAGAAAUUUAGUAAUUUUUUUUAUUUGAAGUCCCCCCCUCUCUAAAAUAAAUGUUCAUAUAUUAACUAUAGCGCUGAGGUAUAUUAGUUAUUUAAAAAAAAAAAUAUUGAAUAGAACAAAAGUAAUUUAAUUUAUUUUAGUCUCAUAUGCUAAUUUGAGAACAAUACAAUUUUCUAAAAAGUGAUAUUAUAAUUAUAACAAGGUAGAAUUAUAUUCAUCAUCACACUUAAAUGUGGACUUUCAACUGUUAAAUAUGGUAACAACCAUUCUCUGAUAAAGUUGGUCAUCUGUUCUAGUUAGGUAGGUGGUUAUGUUUGGCUGCUAUAAGUACCCCCACCUAACCCACCUAUGUUUUAUUUAAAUUCUGAUACUAAUUUAUUGUGACUUACCAUAUUUUUGAUUCUGAUGAAUUCCUAUGUUUGUUUAGCUUUUUUUUUAAGUAUUCAUUUGAUCUUUAUGUUAAACCAAAGUUAAGUCAAUAAAUUAUUUUACCUUUACAAUUUCUCUAUAUGUUUUAUAAUUUGAUUUUGUGGUUGACACCAAUUGAUAUUCCAAUAUAAUAAAUCCUUUAAAUGUAUUGGUAUAUUAUAUUUAGGACUUAAUUAGGACUACAAAUAAUAUGCUUCAAGAUUAUUUUUCGAAUAAUAAUGCAUUUUGAAACUUAAUUCCAUAUAAAUGCAUUCAUAUUAUAUAAAAAAAAAUAAAUAAUAAUUGCAUAUUAUACUGGAUAUUUAAGCUUUUCUUAGUGUAUAAGGUUCUGAGUCUUGAACUAAUAAGUUGAAAAAUAAUUAUAAGCUCAUAUAGUUUUAUCAGUUUUAAAAUUUAUGAAAAUUAACUGAUUUCCAUGGUAGAGAUUCCUGCUCAUCCUUAGUAUUAAAUUUGUAUACUUUAUAAUACUUCAUUUUUUUUCUCCCCAUAGCAAAAGAUGUAUAUGAAAACUAACACAGGAGAAAUUGAAGUAUUUCUAUGUCCAGAAUACAAUACCAAUACAGUUGCACAACCGCAAAGUCAGUUAAGGCCGCCGUAUACAUCUCAGGUUGGUAUCGCUUAUGAAUUAUUUUUGGAUUUCACAAUUUGAUUAAAAAUAUUUUUGUUUUAGAAUGUCAAUAAUUCAUUGAUAGGCAACAAUACAGUUAUCAAAUCUCCCCAAAAAUCUUCUGUUAUUCAACAGUCACCAACAUAUUCAUCACAUAAGUACAAAAUGGGAACUAUCAAAUCAGAAAAUGAAGAGAACACAACAACAGAUAGAUGUAAAGAAAAGCCGUUAAACGAACAGCAGUAUAUGCCCAGUACAAGUGGUUCCGGUAUGCAAAUUAUUACACAUAUACCGCGUUUCAUUUUAAAUACACAUCUUGGUUUGCAUGAUGCUUGCAUGAUGUCCAUGAAAUUUCAAAAUAUUACUUUUACUUGUUUAUAAAUUCUUCAAUUUCUUUCUAUUUUCUAUUUUUGUUUUGUUUUUAACUAAUAUUUAUUUAAUCUUCUUAUAACUAGUUCUUAUCUAUUUAGUUUCCAUAAUUUAUUUUACUAUUGAUCCUUUAUUACAAAACAAUAUUUUGCAUGAUAGAUACUUGAUUCAAAAUGUAUGAUUAAUUUAAUUUAUACAUCUAGAUUCUAGUGUAUCUAGUAGUAAAUUUGUUUUGCCUUAAUUUUCAUUUUUCUAAUGAUAACCUUUCAUAAGUUAAUAUUACUAUUAUUAAAUUAUGUUAUUACCCUCUGUAACAUUUAUUAAAUCUGAUAGUUUCAACAUUUUGAAUAUGAUAUAUUUAAUAGAAAUUUUAAAUACUUAUUUUUUUGUAUGUUCUUAUGGGAUUAUAACAUUUCAUCUUGAUAAUAGUCUAUUAUAUAUGGUUGAAUUUCAUUAACUGCUUUUAAAUAAAAUGAUAAGGUAUACAAAAUAUUGCUAUUAACUCUAAGUGAAUAUAAUAUACAUUCAAAUUUCAAUUUAAUAAAUUAUCUCUCAUGUAUUUUUUUAUUUUUUAGAUUAAGUAUUAAUAUUUAAUUAUGUAAUUUUAUUUUACUGUUAUCUAAAUCCAACAUUAGCACAAUUAUAAUUUUUUAAGUAAAGUUCAUUACAUAAAGUACAUUUGCUACUAUUCAGAAUUCUUUUCAAUCUUCUCACAUUUUUAAUUACAAAUAUUGAGAGCUACAUCAUAAUCUAUUACAUUAUUAUUAUUUUAUAAUUUUUUUUUUUUAUAACUUUGAUUCAUCAAAGAAUCAAAUAAAUUUCAACAAAAACAUAAUAUUGUUAAUCUGAAUGUCUGUUUUAAACUCAAUUAUGUUCUUGUGGUUAAUGUAAAAAAAACUUCAUUGAUACUAUGAAAGUAAUAAAAUUAUUAUUUAGUUGAACAACAAUUAUUAGUAUUAUUAUUGUUAUUAUUAUUAUAUAUAUAUAUAUAUAUAUAUAUAUAUAUUUUUAUUUUUAUUUUUAUUUUUAUUUUUAUUUUUUUGCUUUAUUUGUUUGUCGUAUAACAUUGUCUUGUAUUAUAUACAUUUUGCUUUUAUGAUAUAAUAAUAUUAUAAUCUUAUAAAAAUUAACUGAAAAGUAUGAAUAGCAAAAUUAUUAAAAUAUUUUGUUUUGUUUUACUGCUCCAUAUUAUCCGGAAAUAAUUUUUGAAAAAAAACUUGCAAUUGCUUCGGUUUUACUGCUGUUGAGUGUAAAACAGUCAUGUCGGUUGUCCGCUGAAUUUUACGAGUGCCUCAUGUAAUGUAUCUCUUUUAGCACCAUUGAAUUCAGCUGUCGCCUGGUGUGUGGUCUGCUUUUGCCUUAUGUACAAUCAGUGCUUCUUCAUUUACCACAUAUCUUAUCACAAUAUUAUUAUGUAGUAUGUAAAUAUUGUAUUAUUUUAAAUUAAAAUACAAAUGGUUCAUACGGAUCUUUUUAUUUUUCAAAAGUUGUGCAGUGUAGCUAAUGAAUUUUUAACAAUUAUUAACAUUAAAUUCUUCAGUUCUAUUCAUAUAUUUGAUAUUGAUUUUUUUUUUCAUCAUAUAUAUAUAUAUAUAUAUAUUAAAGAAAUUUACUAUUCUAUAGUAUAAGAAUCAUAGAAAUUUUAUUAUUUACUUAAAUAUUGAUUUCACUAGUCUUGCUUCUUUCUUUAACGCAUGUUGUCUAGUUAUUUUUUUAUUGAGUAAGUUUGGUUUUCAUUAAAACCUAGUGUGAAUUUAUUAUAUUUGUAUUUUUUUUUUUAGUCAAAGAUACAUUUGAAAUAUCUUGUGAACCUUUCUUGAUGCUGGAGCCACCAAAUGAAGACGACUACAACUACUGUUUAGAUUCUGAUGAGGGUCUUGGUGACCUGUUUGGCUUUAGAUUAUAAGUCUGCUCUGAUAGUAAUAAUUUUUAUUAUAUAUAAUUACUAUAUGUAUA
rnacentral:lncRNA from 1 species